GACGGAGGGCGCAAGCGUUGUUCGGAAUCAUUGGGCGUAAAGCGUAUGCAGGCGGCCAGGUCAGUCUGAUGUGAAACCCCGGGGCUCAACCCCGGAAGUGCAUUGGAUACUGCCUGGCUUGAGUCCGGGAGGGGCCAGUGGAAUUCCUGGUGUAGGGGUGAAAUCCGUAGAUAUCAGGAGGAACACCGGCGGCGAAGGCGACUGGCUGGACCGGAACUGACGCUGAGAUACGAAAGCGCGGGUAGCGAACAGG
rnacentral:misc_RNA from 1 species